rnacentral:rRNA from 1 species
AGAGAAUAGAUACCCUGGUAGUCCUGGCCGUAAACGAUGUCGACUAGAUCGCAGUUCCUUCAAACGGAAAUUGCGGUCGAAAGCAAAAGUGCUAAGUCGACCGCCUGGGAAGUACGGUCGCAAGGCUAAAACUCAAAGAAAUUGACGGGGGCUCACACAAGCGGUGGAGCAUGUGGUUCAAUUCGAAGCAACGCGCAGAACCUUACCUGGGCUUGACAUGCUAGGAUUAUCCCUAUGAAAGUAGGGUAGGCCCUCGGGUACGAACUAGUACAGGUGCUGCAUGGCUGUCGUCAGCUCGUGUCGUGAGAUGUCGGGUUAAGUCCCUUAAC